rnacentral:rRNA from 1 species
AGCUAAUAGAUACCCCGGGGUAGUCCCACGCCCUAAACGAUGUCUACUAGUUGUUGGUGGAGUAAAAUCCAUGAGUAAACGCAGCUAAACGCGUGAAGUAGACCGCCUGGGGAGUACGGUCGCAAGAUUAAAAACUCAAAGGAAUUGACGGGGGCCCGGGCACAAGCGGUGGAUUAUGUGGAUUAAAUUCGUAAUGCAACGCGAAAAACCUUACCUGGCCUUGACUAUGCCACUAACGAAGCAGAGUACUGCAUUAGGGUAGUCCCGUAACGGGAAAAGUUGGGACACAGGUGCUGCAUGGCUGUCGUCAGCUCGUGUCGUGAGAUGUUGGGUUAAGUCCCGCAACGUAGCGCAACCCUU